GCCAGUGGGAGGAGUGCCAGUAGAAGAGGAGCCAUUGGGAAGGUCUGCAGCAUCCAACUGCUGUUCAGAAGCAUCCAGGCCAGAUGAACACCGGCUCAGCCAGGAGAGUUGCAUUUAUUUAAGGUUGGUCUUGUAGGCCGAGUGAUGAGACCAUCUUUGCCUUCUCUUUGCCAGCGGGAUACUUAGUGUCUCCUCUAGACCCAUAGUCAUUAGCAUCGGAAUCGCUCCGCUUGCUGUUUGCGCUAUGCUUGGUUGGCGUGCCGGGGAGAUGGCUCACCUGCCCGUUCUUCUCGUCUGAAAAAAGUUGUUUAAUUACGUCAAAGAAGUUACUCAAUGGACUGCCUGGGUAUACAAAACAGAGGAGACAAAAAGAAAACAAAGAAAGCAAGAGAAAGAGAGAGAAAAAGAGAACAAACAAACAAAUGAACAAUGGGGUUUUAAACGAGAAGAACGUGAUGAGCGGUCCAGAGCCACGUGCAUGGGUGUGUGUGGAGGAUGAAGACAAUGAGCAGAAGAGGAAGAGCAUCAGGAUGGGAGCACUGCACUGCCUAUGCAUAUGAAAAGCCUGGGGUCAAGAAUGCCACAUUUGGUGGUUGGAAUCUUGCACUGUAUAGCUAAAGCAGAACUUUUGUCUAGAAGGGCAAUUGGCAUCCUUGCAGACAUGCUGGAGAAUGCCAUGAUGCUGGAUAAUACUGGGCCUACAUGAAAUUCCCCUGAAAAAUAUUCUGUGUGAACGAAGUCAAGAGUAAUGCGAAGUCAUUGAAACUCUGUUCUUAAGCACACUCACUGGGAGUGAACCAAGUGAAGCACUGGAUUUUGACCAAGAGAAAACUGGAUGCAGCUGGACAAGGUUUCUGGGAUCGAUUAUUUAUUUAU